GUACGCUGCGCACACCCCCAUGUGAAAGUGGGUCAGAGGAAGAGGAGGAUGAGGAGGAAGAGCUCGGGAGGCUGUCUCGUCAGCUAGAGAGUUUAGCUAUAGGAGAAGGGAACAGAAAUAAACAGGGGCUCAAGAAAAGCGAUCCCCCGGAUCCACCGCCGUAUGGUGGGGGUGUUUCGGGGAGAGCUUUCCAUGCCCAAACAUGGAGGGCUGUUAACGCUGAGAUGGGUCUUGCUUAUCCAGUUUUUCAGGAUGACAAUAGGGGAAGAUUCCAUGAACCCUUAGAUUUUAAAAUUGUGAAGACCCUGGCGGAGUCUGUCCGCACUUAUGGCAUAGAUGCCGCUUUCACUCUCACUCAGGUGGAGGGACUUACUAGAUUUUGCAUGACUCCCUCAGAUUGGGCUAGUCUAGUCCGCGAUUGUGUUUCCCCAGGGAAAUAUUAGGAGUCCAAAGUUGGCUGUUUAAUGUUUCUGGCAGUACCCAAGACUCGGAUCGAGGUAGGAGACUUAAAAUUACUUCACACAAUUCACAAUUGUUUAAUGCUACAUUACCCUCCGCAGCAGUCUGUCUCCAAUCUCCGUUCCUGUUUCUUUUGGCUAAUGAUACAUUACAGGGGAUGCUUAAUUGUUCUAAUGUUACCUGUCUCUUAUCUGAGUGUUGGAAUGGUUCUUGGACUGUAGCAGUGGUUAUGAAAAUUCCAACUUUUGUCCCAAUCCCAGUCACUGCGGACCCAGAUAAAUUCCCCAUUGUUGAGCUACUUAGAGUCUGUAGGGAUUUUGGAAUUACGGCAGCUAUAGUGACAGCUGUGGCAGUGUCUGCUGCUGCAGCGGUUACGGCCGGAGUGGCCAUGGCCAGUCAAGUACAAACUGCUGCCACCAUUAAUCAAGUUGUUCAACAAACUUCCACCAUACUUGAAUCCCAAAAUACAAUUAAUCAACNUGGUCUGUGUCCAAUCCCCGUUCUUGCUCCUUUUGGCUAAUGACACCUCGUCGGGGAUGCUGGAUUGUUCUAGUGUUACCUGUCUCUUAUCUGAGUGUUGGAAUGGUUCUUGGACUGUAGCAGUGGUUAUGAAAAUUCCAACCUUUGUCCCAAUCCCAGUCACUGCGGACCCAGAUAAAUUCCCCAUUGUUGAGCUACUUAGAGUCCGCAGGGAUUUUGGAAUUACGGCAGCUAUAGUGACAGCUGUGGCAGUGUCUGCUGCUGCAGCGGUUACGGCCGGAGUGGCCAUGGCCAGUCAAGUACAAACUGCUGCCACCAUUAAUCAAGUUGUUCAACAAACUUCCACCAUACUUGAAUCCCAAAAUACAAUUAAUCAACAUAUUUUGUCAGGGAUUUUAGCUGCCAACCAAAGAAUAGAUUUACUCCAAGCUCAGGUAGAAGAAUUGGCUGACUUGGUGCUUUUGGGUUGUGUUGACCAACGUGCACAUUUAUGCAUAACCU
rnacentral:lncRNA from 1 species